rnacentral:lncRNA from 1 species
GAAUGGCUAGGAUUUGUGUUUGAGGUAAAACUCGGUGGGUCCGAUAUAUGGAAGUUUGUGACACCAAAUUUGUGUAUAUGGAAUUUGAGAGAGUGGAUUUGCGGGAAAAAUGACUGAGUAUUUUGGUGGCUAACUUUGAGCAUUUGAGCAAUUAGUUCAUUUUACUACCUCACCCCCUUUUAAUAGUAUUUUCUUUCCUAUGGACUCAAAAGUGAUUUCUCACAAAUAUAAAAUGAAGAGUCUUCUAGCUUGAAGCUUGAGCCAAUAUUAUUCCUUUCUUGCAUCAAGGGGCAUCUCCACAUAAGCCUUUCGCCAUAGCAUCUUUUGAACUUUUCUGAAAUAUACUUGGAAAACAUAUUAGUCCAAUGAUGCAUAUGUUGUGUUCAAUUAUCAAAACCAUCCUAGGGGGCAAUUGUGCUUUCACGCAUCCCAUGAGAUGUCAAUCCACGGUCUCAUAAUAACCACGACAAACCUCCGUCCGAAGUUGUCCCAGACCAGCAUGUCAUACGAGGCAUGAGGUAGUGCCCACUCACCAUCUGCAUCACAUAAAAUCAAC